AACGGCAUGGGUUACUAUAAAUACCAGUUGUUUGGCGCCAAAUUAAUUUCGAUCGCUUCUCAUCACUGCUCCUGCAAAAAAUCCUCUCGGCGAGUACGCUCUUCGGAUUGGAUUGCUAGAGUUUCUGUUCACAACAGAGGUUUGAGAUCGAACUGGCGCUUGUGCUGCGGAAUUCGUUGGUAACUUCGCAAUGAGUAGACUUCUAGGAUUGUCAGGCAUAAGAAGCCUGGAACAGUUCAAAUCUUUGUCUGGAUCUAGUUCCGGUGCUGCGAACAGGAAGAUUAUCUCAAAUGCUUCGCUUGCAACUCCAGAGUCGGCUUCUUCGGGUAGUUUCGCCAAUCUGAAGCUCACAGCAGAAAAAUUGGUCAGGGAGCAAGCUUCUGCGAGAACUGACCUCGAAUUGGCGAAUUCUAAGCUCAAGAAACUGACAGAGCAAAUGUCUGUACUGGAAGAGAAAUUGCAAAUUGCAUACAAUGAAAACGUGAAGCUUAAAGUGAAGCAGAAAGAAGAUGAGAAGCUCUGGAAAGGGCUUGAAUCAAAGAUCUCAUCAACAAAGACACUGUGUGAUCAGCUCACCGUAACCUUGCAGCAGCUGAAUGUUCAGGUUCAGCAAGCUGAGAAAGAUAAGGCAUAUUUUGAAGAUAAACUGUCAGCAACUUCAGUUACUCUCAGUGAUUUGCAUGAGAAUAUGAAGUCUAUGUCCUUGAAGUUGGACUCCUCUGAACAGACAAUUAGAACUCGUGAGAAGGAACUUAUGGAACUUGGCCUUGAAAAGGGAAACCUGGAGACGGCCUUCAGAAAUGAACAGAACAAAGCUAAUUGUUUGAUAGAGGAGAAAGACUGUGUGUUAAAAAGAUUGGAAGAAGAUGGAGCAGCACACAGAAUUGCUUUAGAAAAUCUGACGACUACAAUGGAAAAAUUGCAACUUGAACUGAGAGUAAAAGAAGAUGACGUGCUUGAACUGAGUCUGUCCAAGGAAAAAUUGGAGAGAGAAAACAAGGUCCUGUUAUCUAGCAGAGAUGAUUUUUCUAACAGAUUGCGACUUACACUAGUGGAGGUCAAGAAUCUUGAAGAUUUUGUGACUAUGCUGGUUGUGAAGUUCAAAGAACUGGAGAGGCAAAGUCUGGCAUUUUCAGACAAAGUCAUUCAAUUAAAUGCUUCAUUCGAUUCAUGUUUGGAGUUGGCUCAGAUGGAGAAAGACAUUGUCUCAAAGUGUGCUCAAAGAAAGUUCGAUCAGAUAAACGACCAGUGUGCUAGUGUUAUAUCUGAGAAAAAUGCUCUACUAAUAGUUAAUCAUGAAUUGAACAUUAAAAUUCUUGAGCUUCAGAAAGAGCAGGAAUUUGCAAUGGUACAGCAUGCUGAAGAAUGUCGCUUAGCAGAAGAGAAAAUUCGGAAAUUGGAGUCUGAAUCGGAAAUGCUUGUUACUAAGCAGAGUGAAAUGCAAGCCUUGAUACUCAAAUUGGAGGAUAACCUUAGGAUUUCUUCAGAGAACUCAAGAAUAUCAGAGGAAAGAGUGCAAGAUUUAUCAAUGAAAUUUUCCGAGUUAGAGCUAAGCAGCAAAGGUCUUAUAGAUGGACUAAAAACACAAAUCCUGAACAAGCAAGAAGAAAGUGAUGUUUUACAGAAGGAGGUUGAGAAAAGAGAAGAAAAUAUACAUUUACUCAAGGAAAGAGUGAAAGAGCUUGAGAAUGCAGUAGAGGAAAAGGAUCAGAUUCAUGUGGAACUCAAGGCAAGAGAGAAACAGAUUGAUAAUCAGAAAGCAGAGGUUAUGGCUUCCCUGGCUGACACUGAAAGUAAGCUUCAAGAGGCCAAAAAGGAAUAUAAUCAAAUGCUAGAAAGCAAACAAUUAGAACUAUCAAAGCAUUUGAAAGAAAUCUCUCAAAGAAAUGAUCAGGCCAUUAACGAUAUACGAAAGAAGUAUGAGGUGGAGAAGCAGGAGACUGUUAAUCUUGAGAAAGAAAAGGCAGAUAAAAUUAUCCAAGAUGUGGAAAAAAGGUGUGAGCAAAAAAUUGAAGAAUUCAAAGAAGAAUCUCGACAACAUUUGCUGCAGGUGCAGGAAGAACAUGCUGCAGCGGUUAGCAACAUUCAUAAGGAACAUGCUAAAAAAGAAAUGAGCCUCAUAUCUAAGCACACUGAAGAACUAAGGCGCACGGAACUUCAUGCUGAAGCUGAGUUAAGAGAGAAAACAAAAAUGCUUAGGUCUGAGCAUGAGGCUCAGUUAAGAGCUUUGAGAUGCGAGCAUGAAGAUGAGUGCAAAAGACUGCAGGAGGAGUUGGAUAUUCAAAAGGCGAAGGAAGAGAGGCAGAGGACUUUACUGCAGUUGCAGUGGAAAGUAAUGGGUGACAAUCCACAAGAGGACCAAGAAGUGACUUCUAAAAAGAACUACUCCAUCUCAUCUUCUAAGAUGAGAAAUAAAGAAAGCAACAAAAGAAUUCAGCAGUCUCUUGACAGAGCAGAAGUUGAUGAAAAGGCAACCCAAACUCCAGUUUCAAACAUGUUGAAAAAGGUCGAGAAUGUGAAUAAUCUGCCUAAGCACAGCAGGAAGGUGACUCACCAUGAAUAUGAAAUUGAAACAUCAAAUGGUAGAACAAUUACAAAGCGGAGAAGGACCAAAAGUACAGUCAUGUUUGGGCAGGACCCAAGGAAGCAAAGGAAGAGAGACACACCAAAGGCAAAGACUCCCAAAAAUGUUAUCCAGGCAAGUGUCCACUAAACCAAUCGUUCAGAAACCUGUUUGCAUUUGCUCUUGGCAUUUUGUUUUCUCUUUAAAUUCUCUGUUUCAGUGAUUGUUCUUGAUUUCGAACCAAAUUCAUGGAUCACAAAAAUGUGGUGUGGAAAACAGAUAAGAAUUGGCAUCUGUUGAUUCACCUUAUAUACUAUGAACAGCUAUGAUCAAGCAAUAUAAAAACUAUAUAUGUCUGCAUUUUUCUACAUGUGCUCAAGCAGUUUGUCCUGCAACACACACAAAAAAGUCCCGGAAUAAUAUUUCAAUUCUAGAAUUCUGUUGGCUGUUGUUAAUGCUUGGUCUUUAAUGUGAUCUAGGGAGCCAAAGGAGGAGUCCCUCCAAAACCUUCCAACAUAGGUGAUUUAUUUACUGAAGGAUCUUUAAAUCCUUAUGCAGAUGAUCCCUAUGCAUUUGAUUAAAGGAUCUGGAAGUAAUUUCCACUGUGAAUGAACACGCCUUCUUGAAGUGAAUAUUAGCUGCACUGCAUAUAUAUUCAUGCAUGAAACUAAUCUCAAACAAACUUAGUAUCUCAAACAUAUUGAUUCUGUCUCAUUAAGUGCCAUAAAUUCUUCUUUUGCUCAUUUGCGGCAACAUUUCAGACUUAACUUUCUUUCUCUGUUUGUUA